GCUUUAGAAUGGUAACUGUGUGUUUUGUCAUACAUGUUUGCUACAUAAAAAUGCUCUGACACAGUGUCCUAAGCCAAAGUGAACUGCGGCUCUGACGUUUGCCUGGUCUUUGUGCCCACAGGCUGUUGGCACUAGAGUGGGUUGUACAGCA
ensembl:snoRNA